rnacentral:rRNA from 1 species
UGGGGAAUUGUUCGCAAUGGGCGCAAGCCUGACGACGCAACGCCGCGUGGAGGACGAAGAUCUUCGGGUCGUAAACUCCUGUCGAGCGGAAAGAACGCCUUCCGGGCUAACAGUCUGGAUGGUUGACGGUACCGCUAAAGGAAGCCCCGGCUAACUCCGUGCCAGCAGCCGCGGUAAUACGGGGGGGGCAAGCGUUGUUCGGAAUUACUGGGCGUAAAGGGCUCGUAGGCGGCCAACUAAGUCACACGUGAAAUCCCCAGGCUUAACCUGGGAACUGCGUGUGAUACUGGAUGGCUUGAAUUCGGGGGAGGGAUGCAGAAUUCCAGGUGUAGCGGUGAAAUGCGUAGAUAUCUGGAGGAAUACCGGUGGCGAAGGCGGCAUCCUGGACCGACAUUGACGCUGAGGAGCGAAAGCUAGGGGAGCAAA